rnacentral:rRNA from 1 species
CAGUUAAGUCGAUUUCUUCGGAUUGAUUCUUAAUUGACUGAGCGGCGGACGGGUGAGUAACGCGUGGGUGACCUGCCCCAUACCGGGGGAUAACAGCUGGAAACGGCUGCUAAUACCGCAUAAGCGCACAGAGCUGCAUGGCUCAGUGUGAAAAACUCCGGUGGUAUGGGAUGGGCCCGCGUCUGAUUAGGCAGUUGGCGGGGUAACGGCCCACCAAACCGACGAUCAGUAGCCGGCCUGAGAGGGCGACCGGCCACAUUGGGACUGAGACACGGCCCAAACUCCUACGGGAGGCAGCAGUGGGGAAUAUUGCACAAUGGGGGAAACCCUGAUGCAGCGACGCCGCGUGAGCGAAGAAGUAUUUCGGUAUGUAAAGCUCUAUCAGCAGGGAAGAUAAUGACGGUACCUGACUAAGAAGCCCCGGCUAACUACGUGCCAGCAGCCGCGGUAAUACGUAGGGGGCAAGCGUUAUCCGGAUUUACUGGGUGUAAAGGGAGCGUAGACGGCAAGGCAAGUCUGAUGUGAAAACCCAGGGCUUAACCCUGGGACUGCAUUGGAAACUGUCUGGCUCGAGUGCCGGAGAGGUAAGCGGAAUUCCUAGUGUAGCGGUGAAAUGCGUAGAUAUUAGGAAGAA